rnacentral:rRNA from 1 species
AACGAACGCUGGCGGCGUGCCUAACACAUGCAAGUCGAGCGCGAAUGGAGCAAUCCUAGUAGCGCGGCGCACGGGUGCGUAACACGUGGGUAAUCUGCCUGGGAGACCGGAAUAACCUGCCGAAAGGCUGGCUAAUACCGGAUAAGCCCACGGACUCUUCGGAGUCUGAGGGAAAAGGUGGCCUCUGUAUACAAGCUAUCACUUCCAGAUGAGCCCGCGGCCCANCAGCUCGUUGGCGGGGUAAAGGCCCACCAAGGCAACGACGGGUAGCUGGUCUGAGAGGACGAUCAGCCACACUGGAACUGAGACACGGUCCAGACUCCUACGGGAGGCAGCAGUGGGGAAUUUUGCACAAUGGGCGAAAGACCUGAUGCAGCAACGCCGCGUGUGUGAUGAAGGUC